GUCUAUGGCCAUGCUAUCCUGAACAAGCCUGAUCUCGUCUGAUCUCGGAAGCUAAAGAGUUGGGCCUGGUUAGUAGUUGGAUGGGAGACCACCUAGGAAGACCAGGUGCUGUAGGCA
rnacentral:rRNA from 1 species